GAAGCUGACCAGACAGUCGCCGCUUCGUCGUCGUCCUCUUCGGGGGAGACGGGCGGAGGGGAGGAAAGUCCGGGCUCCAUAGGGCAGGGUGCCAGGUAACGCCUGGGGGGCGCAAGCCCACGUUCAUAAGGUACGGCCCGUACUGAACCCGGGUAGGCUGCUUGAGCCAGUGAGCGAUUGCUGGCCUAGAUGAAUGACUGUCCACGACAGAACCCGGCUUAACGGUCAGCUUCCUCA
rnacentral:RNase_P_RNA from 1 species